rnacentral:rRNA from 1 species
CGUGGAGUCAUCCUUGAAAUACCACCCUGUGUAUGUUGAACAUCUAACCUCGACCCGUUAUCCGGGUUAGGAACAGUGCCAGGCGGGUAGUUUGACUGGGGCGGUCGCCUCCCAAAGAGUAACGGAGGCGCCCAAAGGUUCCCUCAGCCUGGUUGGCAAUCAGGCAUCGAGUGCAAUGGCAGAAGGGAGCUUGACUGCGAGACCUACAAGUCGAGCAGGGACGAAAGUCGGGCAUAGUGAUCCGGCGGUUGCGUGUGGAAGCGCCGUCGCUCAACGGAUAAAAGGUACCCCGGGGAUAACAGGCUCAUCUUCCCCAAGAGUCCAUAUCGACGGGAAGGUUUGGCACCUCGAUGUCGGCUCAUCGCAUCCUGGGGCUGAAGCAGGUCCCAAGGGUUGGGCUGUUCGCCCAUUAAAGCGGUACGCGAGCUGGGUUUAGAACGUCGUGAGACAGUUCGGUCCCUAUCCUCUGUAGCCGAAGGAGAUUUGAGAAAGGCUGUCCCUAGUACGAGAGGACCGGGAUGGACGCAGCUCUCGUGUGCCAGUUGUUCCGCCAGGAGCAUGGCUGGUUGGCGACCUGCGGGAAGGAUAAGCGCUGAAAGCAUCUAAGCGCGAAACCUGUUUCGAGAUGAGAUCUCCCACUGGGUAACCAGGUAAGGCCCGUGGUAGACCACCACGUUGAUAGGCCGGAUGUGUAAGCGCGGCAACGCGUUCAGCAGACCGGUACUAAUCGGCCGAGGGCUUGGGCUC